rnacentral:rRNA from 1 species
UACGUAGGGGGCUAGCGUUGUCCGGAUUUAUUGGGCGUAAAGAGCGUGUAGGCGGCCAGGUAGGUCUGGUGUGAAAACUCGAGGCUUAACCUCGAGAUGUCAUCGGAAACCAUCUGGCUAGAGUCCGGAAGAGGAGAGUGGAAUUCCUGGUGUAGCGGUGAAAUGCGCAGAUAUCAGGAAGAACACCAGUGGCGAAGGCGGCUAACUGGUCCGGUACUGACGCUGAGGUGCGAAAGCGUGGGGAGCAAACAGG